rnacentral:lncRNA from 1 species
GUAGCCAUCUUUGCAGUAAUCCAAAACCAAAUAUGAUAUCAGUAAGGCCUUAUUUAUCCAUAAGGAAAAGAGAUGAACUUGACUUCAAUUUUUGAGAUUUUAUGAAUAACCGAGGACAAAAUGAAAUUAUAUGAUCUCAGAGAAGAGGCAUCGAACAUUUUCUUCCAUAAAGGAUUGGAAAAGGAAGAUAAUAAUUUAUGACUACA